AUGGAAGGAAAAAUUAGGUUGCCAGUGGCGGAGUCAGGGGAAGGGGCUGGCAGUGCCACGUCUGCCCACAAAAGUGGCAAGAAAAAGCCCUUGAAACAGCCUAAGAAGCAGACCAAGGAGAUUGAUGAGGAAGAUCAGGCGUUCAAACAAAAACAAAAAAGAGAAGCAGAAGAAACUUGAGGAGCUAAAAGCAAAGGCCACAGGGAAGGGCCCCCUGGCCACAGGUGGAAUUAAGAAAUCUGGCAAAAAAUAAGCUGUUCCUUGUGCCUGAGAUGAUAAUGACCCUUGAUUCCUAUUUAAACAUCUGUAUUCCCUGCCAUAACAUCUUUUGCCACCUUUAGCUAAUAUGAAGUGUUGUCUUAGAGCUUAUUGUACAUUUAAGAAUAAACUUUUG